CCAGGAGACGAUACGUACACUACCAUUC
rnacentral:piRNA from 1 species